GCUACGGCAUCAGUAAUGAUGGGUAGGGGAGCUUCCCAUACGGGUUGAAGCAUGACCGUAAGGACAUGUGGACAGUAUGGGAGUGAGAAUGUUGGCAUGGGUAGCGAGAUGUGGGUGAGAAUCCCACAGGCCGUAAACCCAAGGUUUCCAGGGGAAGGUUCGUCCGCCCUGGGUUAGUCGGGACCUAAGCUGAGGCCGAAAGGCGUAGGUGAUGGACAACAGGU
rnacentral:rRNA from 1 species